GACGAACGCUGGCGGCGUGCUUAACACAUGCAAGUCGAACGGAAAGACCCUGCUUUUGUGGGGUGCUCGAGUGGCGAACGGGUGAGUAACACGUGAGUAACCUGCCCUUGACUUUGGGAUAACUUCAGGAAACUGGGGCUAAUACCGGAUAGGAGCUCCUGCUGCAUGGUGGGGGUUGGAAAGUUUCGGCGGUUGGGGAUGGACUCGCGGCUUAUCAGCUUGUUGGUGGGGUAGUGGCUUACCAAGGCUUUGACGGGUAGCCGGCCUGAGAGGGUGACCGGCCACAUUGGGACUGAGAUACGGCCCAGACUCCUACGGGAGGCAGCAGUGGGGAAUAUUGCACAAUGGGCGGAAGCCUGAUGCAGCAACGCCGCGUGCGGGAAGACGGCCUUCGGGUUGUAAACCGCUUUCGCCUGUGACGAAGCGGGAGUGACGGUAAUGGGUAAAGAAGCACCGGCUAACUACGUG
rnacentral:rRNA from 1 species